UACGUAGGGCGCGAGCGUUGUCCGGAUUUAUUGGGCGUAAAGAGCUCGUAGGCGGUCUGUCGCGUCGGUCGUGAAAACUUGGGGCUUAACCCUGAGCUUGCGGUCGAUACGGGCAUGACUGGAGUUCGGCAGGGGAGACUGGAAUUCCUGGUGUAGCGGUGAAAUGCGCAGAUAUCAGGAGGAACACCGGUGGCGAAGGCGGGUCUCUGGGCCGAUACUGACGCUGAGGAGCGAAAGCGUGGGGAGCGAACAGG
rnacentral:rRNA from 1 species